rnacentral:rRNA from 1 species
UGCGUAGGUGGUCCGUUAAGUUCGUUGUGAAAGCCCUGGGCUCAACCCAGGAACUGCUUCGAAUACUGGCGGACUUGAGGCCGGUAUGGGUCACUGGAACUGACGGUGGAGCGGUGAAAUGCGUAGAUAUCGUCAGGAACGCCAAUGGUGAAGACAGGUGACUGGGCCGGAUCUGACACUGAGGCACGAAAGCGUGGGGAGCGAACGGGAUUAGAUACCCCGGUAGUCCCACGCCCUAAACGAUGCAGACUAGACUGCAGCGGGUUACACCCGUUGCGGUCGGAGCGAAAUUGUUAAGUCUGCCACCUGGGAAGUACGGUCGCAAGGCUAAA